AUUGAACGCUGGCGGCAGGCUUAAUACAUGCAAGUCGAGUGGCAGCAGGACGGUAGCAAUACCGUUGCUGGCGACCGGCAAACGGGUGCGGAACACGUACGCAACUUACCCAUAACUGAUGAAUAGCCCUCCGAAAGGAGGAUUAAUACCUCGUAAUACUUAUUGGUGGCAUCACCGAAACGCUAUAGCUCCGGCGGUUAUGGAUGGGCGUGCAGCUGAUUAGGUAGUUGGUUGAGGUAACGGCUCACCAAGCCUGCGAUCAGUAACUGGUGUGAGCGCAAGACCAGUCACACGUGCACUGAGGCCCGGGCCUGACUCCGACGGGAGGCAGCAGUAAGGAAUAUUGGUAAAUGGACGCAAGUAUGAACCAGAAAUGCCGCGUGAAGGAUUAAGGGCCUAGGGAUUGUAAACUUCUUUUAUCUGGGACAAAAAAAGGCGAUUCUUCGUCACUUGACGGUACCAGAUGAAUAAGCACCGGCUAACUCCGAGCCAGACGCCGCAGUAACAC
rnacentral:rRNA from 1 species